rnacentral:rRNA from 1 species
UACGUAGGAGGCAAGCGUUGUCCGGAAUUACUGGGUGUAAAGCGCGUGUAGGCGGCAGGCCAAGUCUGUGGUGAAAUCGCUCGGCUCAACUGGGCGGGGUCCAUGGAAACUGGUCAGCUGGAGGACGGUAGAGGUGAGUGGAAUUCCCGGUGUAGUGGUGAAAUGCGUAGAGAUCGGGAGGAACACCAGAGGCGAAGGCGGCUACCUGGACAAUUGCUGACGCUCAGGCACGAAAGCGUGGGGAGCAAACAGG